UACGGAGGGUGCAAACGUUGCUCGGAAUCAUUGGGCGUAAAGCGCACGUAGGCGGCCGAUUAAGUCGGGUGUGAAAGCCCUGGGCUCAACCCAGGAAGUGCACUCGAAACUGACCGGCUUGAAUAUGGAAGAGGGUUGCGGAAUUCCUGGUGUAGCGGUGGAAUGCGCAGAUAUCAGGAGGAACACCAAUAGCGAAGGCAGCUCGCUGGGACGUUACUGACACUGAGGCGCGAAAGCGUGGGGAGCGAACAGG
rnacentral:rRNA from 1 species